AGAGUUUGAUCCUGGCUCAGGAUGAACGCUGGCGGCGCGCCUAACACAUGCAAGUCGAACGGUUAAAGCAUCUUCGGAUGUGUAUAAAGUGGCGAACGGCUGAGUAACACGUGGGCAACCUGCCCUUUGCACUGGGAUAGCCUCGGGAAACCGAGGUUAAUACCGGAUACUCCAUAUUUGUCGCAUGGCGAAUAUGGGAAAGCUCCGGCGGCAAAGGAUGGGCCCGCGGCCUGUUAGCUAGUUGGUGGGGUAGUGGCCUACCAAGGCAAUGAUGGGUAGCCGGGUUGAGAGACCGACCGGCCAGAUUGGGACUGAGACACGGCCCAGACUCCUACGGGAGGCAGCAGUGGGGAAUCUUGCACAAUGGGCGAAAGCCUGAUGCAGCGACGCCGCGUGCGGGAUGAAGGCCUUCGGGUUGUAAACCGCUUUCAGCAGGGACGAGGCCGCAAGGUGACGGUACCUGCAGAAGAAGCCCCGGCUAACUACGUG
rnacentral:rRNA from 1 species